GUGGGGAAUAUUGGACAAUGGGGGGAACCCUGAUCCAGCCAUGCCGCGUGUGUGAAGAAGGCCUUUUGGUUGUAAAGCACUUUAAGCGAGGAGGAGGCUACCGAGAUUAAUACUCUUGGAUAGUGGACGUUACUCGUAGAAUAAGCACCGGCUAACUCUGUGCCAGCAGCCGCGGUAAUACAGAGGGUGCAAGCGUUAAUCGGAUUUACUGGGCGUAAAGCGCGCGUAGGUGGCCAAUUAAGUCAAAUGUGAAAUCCCCGAGCUUAACUUGGUAAUUGCAUUCGAUACUGGUUGGCUAGAGUAUGGGAGAGGAUGGUAGAAUUCCAGGUGUAGCGGUGAAAUGCGUAGAGAUCUGGAGGAAUACCGAUGGCGAAGGCAGCCAUCUGGCCUAAUACUGACACUGAGGUGCGAAAGCCUGUGGAGCAAACAGGAUUAGAUACCCUGGUAGUCC
rnacentral:rRNA from 1 species